rnacentral:rRNA from 1 species
UCGAUCCUACGGGACGCAGCAGUGGGGAAUAUUGGGCAAUGGGCGCAAGCCUGACCCAGCAACGCCGCGUGACGGCCGCCGGCCCUCGGGUUGUCCCCUUCUUUUCUUCGGGACGAAACCAAUGACGGUACCGAAUGAAUAAGCCACGGCUAACUACGUGCCAGCAGCAGCGGUAAUACGUAGGUGGCAAGCGUUAUCCGGAUUUACUGGGUGUAAAGGGCGUGUAGGCGGGAG